UACGUAGGGUGCGAGCGUUAAUCGGAAUUACUGGGCGUAAAGCGUGCGCAGGCGGUGGCUCAAGCCAGGCGUGAAAUCCCCGGGCUUAACCUGGGAAUGGCGUUUGGGACUGGGUCGCUAGAGUGUGGCAGAGGGAGGUGGAAUUCCACGUGUAGCAGUGAAAUGCGUAGAGAUGUGGAGGAACACCGCUGGCGAAGGCAGCCUCCUGGGCCAGCACUGACGCUCAUGCCCGAAAGCGUGGGGAGCAAACAGG
rnacentral:rRNA from 1 species